rnacentral:rRNA from 1 species
UACAGAGGUCUCGAGCGUUUGUUCGGAUUCAUUGGGCGUAAAGGGUGCGUAGGUGGCGCUGUAAGUCGGGUGUGAAAUCCUGGGGCUUAACCCCGGAACUGCAUUCGAUACUGCAGUGCUUGAGGACUUGGAGAGGAGACUGGAAUUCAUGGUGUAGCAGUGAAAUGCGUAGAGAUCAUGAGGAAGACCAGUGGCGAAGGCGGGUCUCUGGACAGUUCCUGACACUGAGGCACGAAGGCCAGGGGAGCAAACGGG